rnacentral:rRNA from 1 species
AAACAAUUACGCUGUUAUCCCCUAAGUAACUUGAUUUGUUAAUCUUUUUUAAGGAUCAAUAGUGUAAAUCGUUAUAUUGACUUUAGUAAAUAUGAAGUUAAAUUUUUCAUAAACCGCCCCAGUUAAAUUUUAUUCUUACUAUUGGGUAAGAAUAAAAUAAAGAUUUAAGGGGUCUUCUCGUCCUAUUAUAAUAUUUCUUCUUUUUCAAAGAAAAAUUAAUUUAAAUUUUAGAAAAUUGAGACAAUAUUAAGUUCAUUAACCCUAUCAUUCUAUUUUACAAUUAAUAAACUAAUUAUUAUGCUACCUUUGCAA